AGGCGUAGGCGAUGGACAACAGGUUGAUAUUCCUGUACCACCUCUUUAUCGUUUGAGCAAUGGAGGGACGCAGAAGGAUAGAAGAAGCGUGCGAUUGGUUGUGCACGUCCAAGCAGUUAGGCUGGUAAGUAGGCAAAUCCGCUUACCGCGAAGGCUGAGCUGUGAUGGGGAAGCUCCUUAUGGAGCGAAGUCUUUGAUUCCCCGCUGCCAAGAAAAGCUUCUAGCGAGAUAAAAGGUGCCUGUACCGCAAACCGACACAGGUAGGCGAGGAGAGAAUCCUAAGGUGUGCGAGAGAACUCUGGUUAAGGAACUCGGCAAAAUGACCCCGUAACUUCGGGAGAAGGGGUGCUUUCUUAACGGAAAGCCGCAGUGAAUAGGCCCAAGCGACUGUUUAGCAAAAACACAGCUCUCUGCGAAGCCGUAAGGCGAAGUAUAGGGGGUGACACCUGCCCGGUGCUGGAAGGUUAAGGAGAGGGGUUAGCGUAAGCGAAGCUCUGAACUGAAGCCCCAGUAAACGGCGGCCGUAACUAUAACGGUCCUAAGGUAGCGAAAUUCCUUGUCGGGUAAGUUCCGACCCGCACGAAAGGUGUAACGAUUUGGGCACUGUCUCAACCAGAGACUCGGUGAAAUUAUAGUACCUGUGAAGAUGCAGGUUACCCGCGACAGGACGGAAAGACCCCGUGGAGCUUUACUGUAGCCUGAUAUUGAAUUUUGGUACAGUUUGUACAGGAUAGGCGGGAGCCUUUGAAACCGGAGCGCUAGCUUCGGUGGAGGCGCUGGUGGGAUACCGCCCUGACUGUAUUGAAAUUCUAACCUACGGGUCUUAUCGACCCGGGAGACAGUGUCAGGUGGGCAGUUUGACUGGGGCGGUCGCCUCCUAAAGUGUAACGGAGGCGCCCAAAGGUUCCCUCAGAAUGGUUGGAAAUCAUUCGUAGAGUGCAAAGGCAUAAGGGAGCUUGACUGCGAGACCUACAAGUCGAGCAGGGACGAAAGUCGGGCUUAGUGAUCCGGUGGUUCCGCAUGGAAGGGCCAUCGCUCAACGGAUAAAAGCUACCCCGGGGAUAACAGGCUUAUCUCCCCCAAGAGUCCACAUCGACGGGGAGGUUUGGCACCUCGAUGUCGGCUCAUCGCAUCCUGGGGCUGUAGUCGGUCCCAAGGGUUGGGCUGUUCGCCCAUUAAAGCGGUACGCGAGCUGGGUUCAGAACGUCGUGAGACAGUUCGGUCCCUAUCCGUCGUGGGCGUAGGAAAUUUGAGAGGAGCUGUCCUUAGUACGAGAGGACCGGGAUGGACGCACCGCUGGUGUACCAGUUGUUCUGCCAAGGGCAUAGCUGGGUAGCUAUGUGCGGAAGGGAUAAGUGCUGAAAGCAUCUAAGCAUGAAGCCCCCCUCAAGAUGAGAUUUCCCAUAGCGUAAGCUAGUAAGAUCCCUGAAAGAUGAUCAGGUUGAUAGGUUCGAGGUGGAAGCAUGGUGACAUGUGGAGCUGACGAAUACUAAUAGAUCGAGGACUUAACCAUAUAA
rnacentral:rRNA from 1 species